rnacentral:rRNA from 1 species
CAGUCGAGCGAGAACCGUAGCAAUACGGGGACAGCGGCGAAAGGGACAGUAAUGUGUAGGUACCUACCCCUGGGUUCGGGAUAGCUGCGGGAAACUGCAGGUAAUACCGAAUAACGUCCAAGGACCAAAGGUGUGAUUCCACCUGGGGAGGGGCCUGCAUCCUAUUAGCUUGUUGGCGGGGUAACGGCCCACCAAGGCAACGAUGGGUAGCGGGUGUGAGAGCACGACCCGCGUCAUUGGGACUGAGAUACUGCCCAGACACCUACGGGUGGCUGCAGUCGAGGAUCUUCGGCAAUGGGCGAAAGCCUGACCGAGCGACGCCGCGUGCGGGAUGAAGGCCUUCGGGUUGUAAACCGCUGUCGUUGGGGAGGAAAUGCAGGGGGGUUCUCCCCUCUGUUUGACCUAUCCAAGGAGGAAGUACGGGCUAAGUUCGUGCCAGCAGCCGCGGUAAGACGAACCGUACGAACGUUAUUCGGAAUUACUGGGCUUAAAGGGUGCGUAGGCUGCGCGGUAAGUUGGGUGUGAAAGCCCUCAGCUCAACUGAGGAACUGCACUCAAAACUACCGUGCUCGAGGGAGACAGAGGUGAGCGGAACUCAAGGUGGAGCGGUGAAAUGCGUUGAUAUCUUGAGGAACACCGGUGGCGAAGGCGGCUCACUGGGUCUUUUCUGACGCUGAGGCACGAAAGCCAAGGUAGCAAACGGGAUUAGAUACCCCGGUAGUCUUGGCUGUAAACGAUGAGCACUUGUUUGAAGGGUCCUCCAUAGCCUUUCAGACGUAGCGAAAGUGUUAAGUGCUCCGCCUGGGGGAGUAUGGUCGCAAGGCUGAAACUCAAAGAAAUUGACGG